UAGGGUUCGGUUCCGGAGAGGGAGCCUGAGAAAUGGCUACCACAUCUAUGGAUGGCAGCAGGCGCGCAAAUUACCCAAUCCCGACUCGGGGAGGUAGUGACAAUAAAUAACAAUGCGGUUCCUUCUUUGGUUCUGCAAUUGGAAUGAGAACAAUCUAAACACCUUAACGAGGAGCAAUUGGAGGGCAAGUCUGGUGCCAGCAGCCGCGGUAAUUCCAGCUCCAAUAGCGUAUAUUAAAGUUGUUGCAGUUAAAAAGCUCGUAGUUGGAUUUCGGAGCGGUCGGGUUGGUCCGCCCUGCGUGGUGUGCACUGGCCUUGGUGGUAUCGGCUGGGGGUGGUUUCUUUCACGAGGGCUGCCCUCAGUCUGCCGCCCUUGUUGCGUCUCCACGUGGCAAGUGACCGUUCUUCUCCCUCGGAGACGGAGUCUGUCCUUUGCUGGAUGGGCUUUGGAUGCGAGGUGUUUACUUUGAAAAAAUUAGAGUGUUCAAAGCAGGCCUUAUCUUCGCUUGAAUACAUUAGCAUGGAAUAAUGGAAUAGGACUCUGUGCCUAUUUUGUUGGUUUGAAGGCAGAGAGUAAUGAUUAAUAGGGACAGUUGGGGGCAUUCGUAUUUAAUUGUCAGAGGUGAAAUUCUUGGAUUUCUGAAAGACGAACAACUGCGAAAGCAUU
rnacentral:rRNA from 1 species